rnacentral:rRNA from 1 species
UACAGAGGUCUCAAGCGUUGUUCGGAUUCAUUGGGCGUAAAGGGUGCGUAGGCGGCUAGGUAAGUCUGCUCUGAAAGCCCGGGGCUCAACCCCGGGAGGCGGGUGGAUACUGUCUAGCUCGAGUCCGGAAGAGGAGUGUGGAAUUCCUGGUGUAGCGGUGAAAUGCGCAGAUAUCAGGAGGAACACCGGUGGCGAAGGCGGGUCUCUGGGCCGAUACUGACGCUGAGGAGCGAAAGCGUGGGGAGCGAACAGG